rnacentral:rRNA from 1 species
AUGACGCCUCCCUUCCUCGCCGCCUCAGGCCCCGACGACUACGCGUUCGUCCGCUGCGCCUCCGGCUGCGACUCCUGGGCCCCCCACCACGUCCGCCUCGACGGCGACUCGUAUCGCCUCUGCUCCUCCUGCGUCCUCCUCUCCAACCCCGAGGCCUACUGCUCCGCCUGCCUCCUCCUCCUCUUUCCCGGCGCCUACGCCGCCUCCUCCCGUGAAGCCCACGUCGACUUCUCGCCAGGCUCCACCGCCGCCUGCUCCAACUGCGGCGUCUUCGUCGCUCACCUCUCCUGCAUCGCGGACCCCUACUCCUUCAUCUGCCCGCCGUGCGCCGCCGCCGUCGACAACGUGCCCUUCUCGUACGAUCUCGCGGGAGCGGGGCGGCGCGCGCUGGAGGGGCGCUCCGCGCGCGUCCUCCUCACCGCGGCGCUGCUUUCGCACGAGUCCGCCUUGCACGACGCCGCCGCGGCCCGCGAGAAGGCGGAGCGUAGCGUACAGGAGGCUGCGGCCGCCCGGAGGCUAGCGCGCGACAUGCUAGACGCCGCGUUUCGCGCCGCUGAGGCGGAGGUCUACAGGGACGCCAAGGAGCAGGCCACGCCGUCCGCGCCCGCAGUCGUGCAGCUCAAGAAGAAGACGCCUAAUACCAACGGGCACAAGAGGAAGACCCCCAAGAGCAACGAUGCCAACAGGGAGAGGGACAGGCUGCUCAAGUUCAACGACAUGCAGCAGCCGUCGCUGGCGUUUGCCGCGGCUGCGGCGGCCGCAGCCAGCUCAAUGCCAUCGCCGAUGCCAUCAUCAAGACUGAACCAGAGUCAAGUGAAACAGGAAGCCAUGCCAUUGCCGAUGCCGUCAUCGAGAUUGGACCGCGGAGGUGAAUAA